UUUUAACUCAGUGGUAGAGUAAUCCCAUGGUAACGCGUAAGCCUUCAAACCCGACAAGGGGCU
rnacentral:tRNA from 1 species